rnacentral:lncRNA from 10 species
UCCUGGCUAGACCUGCGCGCAGUGCGCACCCCGGCUGACGUGCAAGGGAGCUCGCUGGCCUCUCUGUGCCCUUGUUUGUCCGUGAAAUUCUGGCUGAGUCUCUCCCCCCACCUUCCGACGCUGUCUAGGCAAAGCCUGGAGUAGAGUUGCAUCUCCUGGAUGAUCAGUUCAGAGAUAUGUCACAAUGCCCCCUCCCUGUGGAUCCUAGAGAAGAUUUGCACCAUUUGGGUGAUCAGUGCAGAGAUAUGUCACAAUGUCCCCUGUAGAAAAAGCCUGGAAAUGAUUUACAUCACCUCGGUGAUCAGUGCAGAUGUGUGUCAGAUCUCCCUAGUAGGCUGAACCUAGACAAGGGUUACAUCACUUAGGUGAUCAGUGUAGAGAUAUGUGAGAAUUCCCGUGUAGGCAGAGCCUAGACAAGUGUUACAUCACCUAGGUUAUCAGUGUAAGUAUUAGUCAUAAAGCCUCCUGUAGGCAGAGCGUAGACAAGAGUUCCCUCCCCAGGGUGAUCAGUGCAGAGAUGUGUCACAAAGCCCCUGUAGGCAGAGCGUAGACAAGAGUUCCCUCCCCAGGGUGAUCAGUGCAGAGAUGUGUCACAAAGCCCCUGUAGGCAGAGCCUAGACAAGAGUUUCAUCACUUGGUUGAUCAGUUCAGAGAUGUGUCACAAUGUCCAUGUAGGCAGAUCUAAGACAAGGGUCCAUCACCUGGGUGAUCAGUGCAGAGAUAUGUACCAAUGUGCCCUGUAGGCAGUGCCUAGACAAGAGUUGAAUCACCUCAGAGAUCAGUGCAUAGAUAUGUCACAAAGCCUUCUGUAGGCAAAGCCCAUACAAGGUUUACAUCACCUAGGUGAUCAGUGCAGUGAUAUGUCACAAAAAUCCCUGUAGACAGAGCCUAGACAAGAGUUACAUCACCUGGGUGAUCAGUGCAGAUAUUUGACACAAUGCCCCCAUAGACAGAGCCUAGACAAGACUUCCAUCACCUGGGUGAUCAGUGCAGAGAUAUGUCACAAAUCCCCCUCUAGGCAGAGUAUAGAGAAGAGUCCCAUCACCUGGGUGAUCAGUGCAGAGAUAUUUCACAAUGCCCCCUGUAGGCAGAGAGUGGACAAAAGUUACAUAACCUAGAUGAUCUGUGCAGAGCUAUGUCAAAACGCCCCUGUAGGCAGAGCCUAGAUGAGUGUUACAUCACCUGGGUGAUCACUGCAGAGAUACGUCACAAUACCCCCUGUAGGUGGGGCCUAGACAAGAGUUACAUCACCUGGGUGAUCAGUGGAGAUAUCUGUCACAAUUCGCCUUUAGGCGCAGCUUAGACAAGCGUUACAUCACAUGAGUGAUCAGUGCAGAGAUAUGUCACUAUGCCCCCAUAGGCAGAUCCAAGACAAGAGUCCAUCACCUGGGUGAUCAGUGCAGAAAUAUGCCACAAUGCCACCAGUAGACAGAUAUAGACAAGAGUUACAUCACCUGCGUGAUCACUGCAGAGAUAUGUCACAAUGCCCCUGUAGGCAGAGCCUAGACAAGAGUCCCAUCACCUGGGUGAUCAGUGCAGAGUUAUGUCACAAUGCCCCCUUUUGGCAGAGCCUAGACAAGGGUUACAUAACCCAGGUGAUCCGUGCAGAGUGAUGUCACAACGCCCUCUGUAGGCAGAGACUAGAAAAGAGUUACAUUACCUGGGUGAUCUGUGCAGAGAUAUGUCACAAUGUACCCUGUAGGCAGAGCACAGAGAAGAGUUGCAUCACCUGGGUGAUCAGUGCAGAGAUAUGUCACAAUGUCCCCUGUAGGCAAAGCCUAGGCAAGAGUUACAUCACCUUUGUCAUCAGUUCAGGGAUAUGUGAAAACGCCCCUGCAGGCAGAGCUUAGACAAGAGUUACAUCACCUAGUUGAUCAGUGCAGAGAUAUUUCACAAUACCUCCUGUAGGCAGAUCCUAGUCAAGAGUUGCAUCACCUGGGUGAUCAGUGCAGAGAUAUUUCACAACGCCCCCUGUAGGCAGAGGGUAGACAAGAGUUACAUCACCUAGGUGAUCAGUGCAGAGAUUUGUCGAAAUUCCCUGUAGGCAGUGCUUAUAAAAGUGUUACAUCACCUAAGUGAUCAGUGCAGAGAUAUGUCACAAAGCUCCUGUAGGCAGAGCUUAGAUGAGUUACAUCACCUGGGUGAUCAGAGCAAAGGUAUGUCACAAAGCCCCCUGUAGGCCAAAGCCUAGACAAUAGUUACAUCACUUGGGUGAUCAGUGGCGAGAUCUCUCACAAUUCCCCUGUAGGCAGAGCUUAUACAACAGUUACAUCACCUGGGUGAUCAGUGCAGAUAUAUGUCACAAUGCCCCCAUAGGCAGAUCCAAGACAAGAGUCCGUCUCCUGGGUGAUCAGUGCAGAAAUACGUCACAAUGCCCCCUUAGGCAGAGCCUAGACAAAAGCCCCAUCACCUGGAUGAUUAGUGCAGAGUUAUGUCACAAAGUCCCUUUAGGCAGAUCCUAGACAAGAGUCCCAUUACUUGGGUGAUCAGUGCAGAGAUAUGUCACAAUGCCACUGUAGGCAGAGCCUAGACAAGAGUUACAUGACCUAGGUGAUCAGUGCAGAGAUACAUCGCAAUGCCCCUGUAGGCAGAGCCUUGACAAGUGGUACAUCACCUGGGUGAUCAUUGCAGGGAUAUGUCACAAAGCACCCUGUAGGCAGAUCCUAGAGAAGAGUUAUAUCACCUGGGUGAUCAGUGCAGAGAUAUGUCACAAGCCCCCUGUAGGCAGAGCCUAGACAAGAGUUAUAUCACCUGGGUGAUCAGUGCAGUCAUAUGUCACAAUGCUGUGUAGCCAGAGCCUAGACAAAAGUUACAGCACCUGGGAGAUCAGUGCAGAGAUAUGUCACAAUGUCCCCAGUAGGCAGAGACCAGGCAAGAGUUGGAUCACCUCGGGAUCAGUGCAGAGAUAUGUCUCAAUCCCCCUGUGGGCACAGCCUAGACAAGAGUUACAUCACCUCGGUUAACAGUGCAGAGAUAUGUCAAAAUGCCCCUGUAGGCAGAGCCUACACAAGUAUUACAUCACUUAGGUGAUCAGUGCAGAGAUAUGUCACAAUACCCCCUGUAAGCAGAGCCUAGACAAGAGUUACAUCACCUGGGUGAUCAGUGCAGACAUAUGUGACAAGGCCCCUUUAAGCAGAGCCUAGACAAUAGUUACAUCACCUGAGUGAUCAGUGCAGAGAUCUGUCACAAUGCCCCUUUAGGCAGAGCUUAGACCAGAGUUACAUCACCUGGGUGAUCAGUGCAGAGGUAUGUCACAUUGCCCCCAUAGGCAAAUCCAAGACAAGAGUCAGUCACCUGGGUGAUCACUGCAGAAAUAUGUGACAAUGCCCCCAGUAGGCAGAACCUAGAGAAGAGUCCCUUCACCUGGGUGAUCAGUGCAGAGUUAUGCCACAAUGCCCCCUGUAGGCAGAGCCUAGACAAGAGUUACAUCAUCUGGUUGAUCAGUAAAGAGAUAUUUCUCAAUGCCCCUGCAGGCAGAGCGUAAGCAAGAGUUACAUCACCUAGAUGAUCAGUGCAGAGAUACGUCACAAGGCCCCCUAUAGGCAGAGCCUGGACAAGAGUUACAUCACCUCGGUGAUCAAUGCAGUGAUAUGUCACUGUGCCCCGUAGGCAGAGCCUAGUCAAGCGUUACAUCACCUGGGUGAUCAGUGCAGAGAUAUGUCAGAAAGCCCCCAUACACAGAGCCUAGACAAGAGUCCCAUCACCUGGGUGAUCAGUGCAGAAAUAUGUCACAAUGCCCCUAUAGGCAGAUCCAACACAAGUGUUACAUCACCUGGGUGAUCAGUGCAGAAAUAUGUCUCAAUGCCCCCAUAGGCAGAUCCAACACAAGAGUUACAUCACCUGGGUGAUCAGUGUAGAGAUAUGUCACAAUGCCCCCGUAGACAGAGCCUAGACAAAAGUCCCAUCACCUGGGUGAUCAGUGCAGAGAUAUGUCACAAAGCCCCUGUAGGCAGAGCCUAGACAAGAGUUACAUCACUUUGUUGAUCAGUUCAGAGAUGUGUCACAAUGCCCAUGUAGGCAGAGCCUAGACAAGUGUUCCAUCACCUGGGUGAUCAGUGCAGAGAUAUGUGACAAGGCCCCUUUAAGCAGAGCCUAGACAAUAGUUACAUCACCUGAGUGAUCAAUGCAGUGAUAUGUCACUAUGCCCCAGUAGGCAGAGCCUAGUCAAGCGUUACAUCACCUGAGUGAUCAGUGCAGAGAUAUGUCACAAAGCCCCCAUACACAGAGCCUAGACAACAGUCCCAUCCCCUGGGUGAUCAGUGCAGAAAUAUGUCACAAUGCCCCCAUAGGCAGAUCCAACACAAGAGUUACAUCACCUGGGUGAUCAGUGUAGAGAUAUGUCACAAUGCCCCCAUAGGCAGAGCCUAGAGGAGAGUUACAUCAUCUGGGUGAUCUUUGCAGAGAUAUGUCACAAUCCUCCAAGUAAGCAGAGCCUAGACAAAAGUUACAUCAUCUGGGCGAUCAGUGCAGAGACAAGUCACAAAACCCACAUAGGAAAAGACUAGACAAGAGUUACAUCAUCUGGGUCAUCAGUGCAGACAUAUGUCAAAGCUGCCGUAGGCAGAGUGUAGACAAGUAUUACAUCACUUGGGUGAUCAGUGCAGAGAUCUAUCACAGUGCCCCCAUAGGCAGAGCCUAGACAAGAGUUCCAUCACCUGUGUGAUCAGUGUAGAGAUAUGUCACAAUGCCUCCUGUAGGCAGAGGCUAGACAAGAGUUACAUCACCUGGAUUUUGUUUCCUGCAAUAUGUCACAAUGGCGAGGGUGAGGGUUAGGGUUAGGGUGAGGGUCAGGGUGAGGGUCAGGGUGAGGGUCAGGGUGAGGGUGAGGGUCAGGGUGAGGGUGAGGGUUAGGGUUAGGGUGAGCAUUAGGUUUAGGGUUAGGGUUAGGGUUAGGGGUUAGGCUUAGGCUUAGGGUAAGGCUUAGGGUUCAGGUUCAAGUUUGGAUUCGGGUUCGGGUUCAGGUUAAGAGUUAGGGUUAGGGUUACGGGUUAGGGUUAGGGGUUAGGGUUAGGUGUUAGGGCUGGGUUAGGUUUAGGGUUAGGGUUAUGGGUUACGGUUAGGGUUAGGGUUUAGGGUUAGGGUUAGGGUUAGGAUUGGGGUUAGGUUUAGGGUUAGGGUUAGGGUUAGGUUUAGGGUUGGGUUAGGGUUAGGAUUGGG